UUGGUUCUACAGGCUAGUUCAGGGCUCCCGCACAAAGAAUUCUGAGCCUGACUCCAAGGAAAAGCAGCUUUCUGCUGCCUGUGCCUGUCCCUGCAGGAGGGGCUGCUGCAGGGUGCUCUGCAGCACCUGGUGACUUGGAUUGCUGAGAAGGAAGGAAGGGAACAGACAGAAGCCACCACAUGGCUUUUACUGCUGCCUUUGCACCCCUCAUCCCUCUUCUAAAAGCCAGCAAGGCUCUGCAAUGGAAAGCCAGCACUGCUCACAGCCCUACUGAGGCUUAUAGUGCCUGCUUGUUUGUUUUUAAACACGAUAAUUUAUCUUAUCCCAUGGGUGUUUCUGCCAAGUUCUUGUUGCUUCCAAGGUUCCAACACUUUAUUAUUUAAAACUCCUCUGUGCUGCUUGCUCCUGUAGGGAUUAUGAAAAGAAAUUAAAUUUAGGGCACCAAAGAUCAUCACAGGCAGAGGAAUAAAACCUCCCUGCAAGCUUAAUUAAGACAAGAAGAUGGGCUGAUAACAGAUAAUAUUUUGCUAACUAGUCACCAAAGGUAGGAGAAGGUAGGCCUGCAGAAAAGGACACACUAUUACUAUUAAAAAAUGCAUAAUAUUACAAUAUAAUAUAUUAUAUUAUAUUAUAUUAUAUUAUAUUAUAUUAUAUUAUAUUAUAUUAUAUUAUAUUAUAUUAUAUACUAUUAUUAUUAAAAUCUUUAAGUUGCAUAGAAGGUGAUGUCCAGGUACUGAUACAACAGGAAUGGGAAAGGCUUCUCAGGGUCUGAUGGGAAAGAAAUGAGCAGAGUGUGUUAAACAGACAAAUGGGACAGAGGAAGAUGUUCUAGGCAGAAAUAUGCUGGAAAUAUUUUGAAGCAGAGUCCUGGCAAAGUGUUUUCAACGUUGUUGUUAAUAAGGUUUGAAUAACACUGGUGUAUCUUGACCUUGGCUUCGGGCUUUCAAGCAAGUGAAAUUAUGUGCUGGUAUGACCCAUGACUUCAGAGAGGUGUCCCUUUCCUGUGCCUGUGCUAAGGGGCUAGAAAGUCACCUAAUCUAUGUUGCUUGCUCCUUUGAAACGACUCAGUAGUGUAAGAGAUAACUACAUCUGUUUUCAGACAAUAAAACUUUAUAUAAUUCCUUGGGAAAAAUCCUCCCUCAGUGUGUGCAUGUAGAUAAUCUGCACACUUCACAGGAAAUAUAUGCUGGUCAGCAUAAGUUCUGUAAAUUUAAUAAUAAUAAUUAAAAAUGUAGGCAAAUAUAUUUUAGCUUUGCCUUUUCCUCAGUGAGGACUAAUUGGGAUUUGCAUGUUAUGAAGACUUUUUAAAGAUGUGAGCUGAUAUUUGUGCCAAUUUUGCACGCUGGAUUUCACAAUCAGAUUGAUUCUUUCUGAGAUUGGUAGGUCAGGAUUGUCAAGCCCUUCCUUCCACUUGUCCUUGUUCACUGGAGCUAUUUUCUUGUGAGAGUGGCUCUGUAUUGCAGGGAUCAGAGCAUUCCUUGCACUGCACUACCAUUUCUGCAGGUGCCUGCAGCAAUGAAGGAGCAAGCCUUGGCAAUUCUCCCUGGUAAGAGUCUGUUCUCAUGGGUAAAUGACACAGCCAUGGAAGUGGAGCCUCAGAUUGCUCCUGCAUCUCUGCAGACACACUUGCAGAGAAAAUAUUCUGGUCCUAGGAAAACACCAUUCCCUUCAGCUGACAGGCUCUGCAAUGAAAGCCUGGGGGAGCUGCAAGAAGUGAAAUUCAGAUUGCCUUCAUUUUAUCAAAAUAUUUAUCAAAAUAAAACUACUUUUUUUUUCCCCUGCAGAAAAUUCAUGUUUCCAUUGCUAGUUGAUUUUACCCAAUUCAUCCUAAACCAUGCAGAUUUUUUUGGUGAGGUGUUGUUUUUCGUUACAUGCAAAUGCAAUUUCCCCUGAAUAAAAAUUCUCCAUUUGUACUGUACUAUUAUUGUUGGGUUUUUUACCUAACUUGCUAAAUUUAUAAAUGGAAACCUUCAGCAAUGAAUAAACUAUUCUCAGACAAAAAAAAAUACCUAAUGCAAGUGCUGUACUUUUUAUCUCUAUGUUGAGUUUCUCUAUUGAGCUAUACUUGACAAAUACUUGAAUUACUGAGAUGUUGGUUUUUCAAACACCAAAACAAAUUUGCCACUGAUUAUGGCCACCUGGAAAUGUCCUGGAGAAACAUUUUGCUUCACAAGGCUGGAUUUGCUGCUAACAGUACAAACUUAUUUCCUGUUUAUUUGUUGAAAUAACUGUGCUUAUUUCUGUAAAUUUGGACUAGGACUAGUUUAUUUCACAUCACUAAUGGGUAGCUCACAAAAUAGCCAUUAAAAGUUUUCAGAUUAUUAAAAAUACUGAAGGGGAAAUAAAAAUUUAUCACUACAUCAUUAAUUUAACCAUAAUUCUUUACCUUCCUAUAGGCCAAUGUCAACACCUUUAAAGCAAGCUCUGAAGGCAAAGUCAAUGAGUUGUGUUUUGGAAGGUUUCUGAUUUAAUUUAAAUCCAUGCAAAUCCAGUGUAACACCAUUCAAGUGUAUCAAUAAUUGAAAAAACGUUCCACUGAAAUUAGUUUUAUAUGUGGGGGAAAUACUUUUUUUUUUUUUUUUACAAAACUAGUCAUCCUUUAAAAAAGCCCAGCCAAGAAGAACAAUGGUCUGAUUUUCAUGGGAAAUUUUAACAAAAAGUGAUGUAAUAUUACUUCUCUGUAUUCUCAUAUGGUAUAUAAAAUAAUCCUACAGGAAUCUGGAGCUUUUUAAUGACUGGCAACAGCUCCAAUAUCCUUGAUAUGUGUCAUGGCAUGGAUUAUUGCUCAAAUCAAUGCGCAGCAAUUUCCAGUCAAGGGAAACAACUGUCCAUUGGUUUGCUCUGAUACAUUUUCAGAGUAUCCCUACAGCCUCCCAUGGAUGUGCAGCUGCUCAGUUACAGCUUAAUUGCAUGACCCCGUAGGCUGACACCCAAGGAGUGCUCGUGGUAGGUGGUGACAUUCAGAACAAAGCAAAAAAGCAAAUACAGUGAAGACUGCAGUUCACACAGGAAGGGAAAGCAGACCAUGUGAAAAGAAAGAUGUCAUUCUAUCAUACAGUUGUCACACAUGUUCUUGUUUACAAAUCUCUAGGGUGUGUGUGUGGCCCUAAAAUGCCCACUCUGCCCCAUCAACUUAUCUGAAGACACACAAAAACACUGUUCGUUUCUUAUCUACAGGAGAAAGAAUAAACCAGAAGAGAAGAAAACAACCAGUAUCUUUCUCACCAAAGCUCCUGGAGAAUCUCCUUGUUAAAACCAAGCAAACACCUUUCAGCAAGGCUAGUGUGCUAGACAGCAUCACCAGCCACUGGGGAAAUUGGAAGGCACCUUCAAUCUUCUGGAUAUUCCAUAUUUGGGAAUAUCUACUGCAACAGAAACUGGCCAAAAGCAGCAAUUUUAUGGCAGUGUGGAAGAAUGGGGAUAUGUGGCUUCUUUGGGGCAUGGAAAGAGCUGACAGAAAUGUUUCCUCUCCAGCUUGACAUUACCCCUAGGAAUAUUCUGUUCCACAUCACCUGAGGGACAAGCUGAGUGUCUCUGAGCCCCCAGGGUUUCUGUCUCCUAUCAAGCACUGAGAGCACAGCUGAAAUUCUGGAGCACAGGCAGCCCCAGACACCCCCACACUGCAGUUUGAGUGCUGCUGCACUUUCCUUGGGCAGGAUUUGGUACCACAAGAGUGCAGAGUCUGGAAGAGAGACCUGAAGUGCUUACAGCAGGCUGCAUUGCUAAACAGCCACUCACAUGCCACGAGCCACUGUCUUGUGUUUCCAGUCAGCUGAAAUUACAAUUCCUGUGCCUGGAACACAAAGGUCUUCAGCACAAGGACAGCAGAACAAUCUCACCAUGUUCUGGUGGGCUUUCCACAAACCACUUGGCAGUAGCUUUAUUCCUUCCUGUGCAAAUGUUCAGGUUAACCUCAGCAAGCAUGAGCUUUGAAUACCUGCUCUGGGAGUCCAUACUACCCAUGGAGAAAAGGAUUUCUAGUUAAAAUUGCACUGUGGGCAGGACACACUCGAUUCCUCUCCCUCUGUGCAUGGGCUAGAGGAGAUGUGGUUUGAACACUUCCAAUUCUGGAAACUUACUUAGGGUCCUCAGUCAGAAAUCAUAAAGCCAGUCCUGAAUGCUGCUAUUGACAAUAAAAUAAAAUAAAAUAAAAUAAAAUAAAAUAAAAUAAAAUAAAAUAAAAUAAAAUAAAAUAAAAUAAAAAUCAGGCUGCAUGUACGUGCUGAAACGAAAGUUUGCAGUUCUGUCCAGUGACAGAGAACCAUGAGAACUCUUCUAUCAGUUGCAUUUGGACAAAGCAGAGGAACACUCCUUCCUAGUGAUAGAGAAGACAUUUGUAGCCUCCAUCUGCUGCUGAACACACCAGCCAGGCUUUCAGCCUUUUGCUCUCUGUAGGGAGCUGGUACAAGUCAGUCACCUUGGACUGAGACAGAUCAAAGGUCUCCAAGUCUGGAAUCCUUUCCAGCACCCCUCAGGGACCAGCACUGAGCCAGCCAGGAGUUAACACACAGUGCUUCCAGCAUGUUUGCCAUUCCAGGAAUCCCUUUUCUUUUGCAUGAACACCCAUAAACAUCCACACCUGUACAGUCUGGCUCUGACAUACCCAUUCAGCACUCUGCCUCGUGUUUCCCCAGCCUCUCCCUCAGCUUUUGUGGGCAAAGCACCCUGUGCACCCAGGCGUUCUGCAGAGCCACACUCUGAGCCUGCUGAGCCUGUCAAAACAACUCUGUUGUUGUGGUAGCCAAGAAUAUAGGGUUUUUUCUCCACUGGGAAAGUCUCAGACACACGAGGUGGUUUCUGAGUUUUAAAUUGUACUGGACACAGGAGGUUUUACAGAGGGUCACCCACUACUGAUUAAAGAGAACAGCUUGCCUUCUGUGCUAUAAUUCAAUCCAUUGUUCCUGUACCUCCACUUGCUAGGCCUGUUAUUACCUUUUUCCCAACCCUUUUCUACAACAUCCUUCUCUCUACAGAUCUAAUUCAACUACUUUUGCUAAUGCCAUUAUAUGAUUUUCUUCUGAAUAGGGAAAAUGUUUUGAUUAAAAACCUUGACAUUAUGUUCAGGAUAAUCUACCAACCAGUUUCUCAGAUGACAGCUGAUAGAAGGCAGCAUGUAUCUAAAGAGUUUACAAUCAUAUCCCUGUGUUAUCUUAAUUAAUGCAGUAAGACCUGUGCAUAGAAUUCACUCUCUUCAUAAUAUAUUGACAGCUGACCUCAUUCCUCCAUGGCAUUUUUAAAAUGCAUUUAUUGUGCUGCAGUGUGAAAACUUAUAGAGAAACCCUCUAUUACAGAGGAAAUUCACAUAUUGUAAUAUUUACUUAUAAUAAUUAGUCUCAAGGUGUUCUGAAAGAUACAACCAAAGGAAUAGAAUGAGAGUCCAUGAAGACAACAAUUGAGUGUGCUGCAAAACAUAUGCUUGUGGUAUUUAUCAUGCUUUUCAUGCAUGAAAGGGAAAUAAAGGCCUUCUACAUCAA